rnacentral:pre_miRNA from 1 species
AGGGGAGUAGCUGGGUAAAAUGGUGGUUCCAUUCCCAACUUUCCAAGGAAUCUCCAUACUACUUUCCAAAUUGGCUGCACCAAUUUGCAUUCCCACCAGUAAU